GUGGCGGACGGGUGAGUAACGCGUGGGUAACCUGCCUUGUACUGGGGGACAACAGUUGGAAACGACUGCUAAUACCGCAUAAGCGCACAGCUUCGCAUGAAGCAGUGUGAAAAACUCCGGUGGUACAAGAUGGACCCGCGUCUGAUUAGCUGGUUGGUGAGGUAACGGCCCACCAAGGCAACGAUCAGUAGCCGACCUGAGAGGGUGACCGGCCACAUUGGGACUGAGACACGGCCCAAACUCCUACGGGAGGCAGCAUG
rnacentral:rRNA from 1 species